AUUGAACGCUGGCGGCAUGCUUUACACAUGCAAGUCGAACGGUAACAGGCCGCAAGGUGCUGACGAGUGGCGAACGGGUGAGUAAUGCAUCGGAACGUGCCCAGUCGUGGGGGAUAACGCAGCGAAAGCUGUGCUAAUACCGCAUACGAUCUAUGGAUGAAAGCGGGGGACCGUAAGGCCUCGCGCGAUUGGAGCGGCCGAUGUCAGAUUAGGUAGUUGGUGGGGUAAAGGCUCACCAAGCCAACGAUCUGUAGCUGGUCUGAGAGGACGACCAGCCACACUGGGACUGAGACACGGCCCAGACUCCUACGGGAGGCAGCAGUGGGGAAUUUUGGACAAUGGGCGCAAGCCUGAUCCAGCAAUGCCGCGUGCAGGAAGAAGGCCUUCGGGUUGUAAACUGCUUUUGUACAGAACGAAACGGUCUGGGUUAAUACCCUGGGCUAAUGACGGUACCGUAAGAAUAAGCACCGGCUAACUGCGUGCCAGCAGCCGCCGUAAAAC
rnacentral:rRNA from 1 species